CACUGGGGCAUGGCCACUAGGUAAAUCGAGGGGAUGGAAGACCACGAGUGUCGAUGAAGCCCCCUCGCACUAGGCCCAGGUGUCCUUGGCCCCCCCUCCCGCCUGGAGGCACUCGCAGCAGCUCUGCGUACUAGGCCCAAGUGACCUGGCCCCCCCACCUGGAGGCACACACAGCAGUUAUGCUGAGGAUCUGCAACGAUAUGCUGCGGAGUCAGACUGCCUGAAACUAAGCAAGGCCAAAAAGAGCAGAUAUGGAAAAACAAUGCUGAAUAAAGCAGCUUUAUGUAUAGUUUAACAAAUGAUACAGAGAAUCAGGGAACUAGCUGGGAACUUGAUUGGCUGGCUAUAUGGAUACUUGGGGCAGCUUGCUAUUGGAUAAGUAUGCUGGGAAAAAGGAUGUAUAAAAGCCUGUGUAAAUUCCUGCUCUGAGUGCAGGAUUUGAGAUUUUAUUCUCCCUGUACCUUUUUGCAGCUGCAAAUAAACUUUUCUGCUUCUCCACCCCGUUGAGAUUAUUGGGUGUAGCACACCAGGUAACGAACCAACUCAAGCUGUUGUUCAGCCUCUCGGCACUGGGUGCCGGCAACAGCUUUUGGCGUCCCUGGGUGGGCGACGAGGCUGCAAUUUAGCCUUGCCCGGACCCUUCCUGGAGGUCGAGGAUUGCGGCGAGAACUGACGCCCAGGGCGCACCGGUGAGUUCAUCGGGGGCCUCGGAGGAGACGCGAUUUGAUUGACCCCAGAGGGCACAACGGUGCAACGCACUCAUAUAGUGGAGAAACAGUUGUGGACGGCGGUGAAGAACCAGUCCCUUGGAUAAGGUAUACCAAGGAUUCCCAGCCUCUCCCCUUGGACACUCCCAUCCACUCCUUACAGCCUGGUGAUUCUGUGCUUGUUCGCACCUGGAAAGACGAGCCUCUCCAAAAAAAGUGGAAAGGACCCUAUACCGUCCUGCUGAUCUCCCAUACAGCGGCAAAGAUCGAGGGACACAAGAACUGGAUCCAUCACUCUCGUCUGAAGGCAGUACCCGCCCCCUCGUCAGCAGAACAGUGGACUGUCCGACCUGCUGACUCCUCAUCUAGUGACGAUCUCGGGCUAAAGCUACUGUUUAAAAGACACAAAUAGCGGGCACUUUAAUGCUAAAAUGGGCCCACCCAGGUACUGGAGACCCUGGGUUAAAAAAACUCUGGUAAUAAUUAAUUGGGUAACAUUGUUAUUUUCUGUAUUGGUAUUUCCAAACUGUGCAUAUCGGGAGCAUAACUCCUUUGUUUUGCUUGCACACCAUGUUGCUAAUUUAACAAACCAGUCUGAUUGCUGGGUAUGUGCUCCAACUCCACUAUCCCCCAAAACGGGAAUGCCCCUUGACAUGCUGCCCUUGACCCUAGCAGAAUUAGCCACCACCAAAGAGCAGGAAAGAACGGACUCGCCGUUCUGGAACAAGACCUCUUUACAGCAGGCCACCUAUCAGGACCAGGAGUAUUCAGUUGCAGUACUCACUGAGGGAGUGUUAUGUUUUACCCGAAACCAAUCUGAUCACUAUGGGCGUCCUGUAAAAAAAAGCUCCUGUGUUAUUACACAGUGGGCUAAUGGGUAUUAAAUAAAAACCAAAAAAAAAAGCCAGCAGUAUAAAUGUAAUGGUUCCUCCCCUUUUAGGGAAACUCUUACAAAUAAUCUUACCACCAAAAAAAGGUUUAAAAAUAUAACUUGCCGUCCAGUUCAUAUCUCCAAUGUAGCAAGCCAAUGGUGGGUUUGCAGUGGUCCCUAUGGCAAGUGUAAUUUAAACGGCACAAUUAAAAAUGCCCCCACUUGUACCCAAUCAGGAGGAUGGGAUGCCCCCCUAGGGGCAUAUGAACUGUUUAAAAAAGCAGCCUUAAAUAUCCCAGGAAUCCCCUUAAGAAACAGUCCUUACUGGGCCCUACAGGGUCACUAUUUUGUAUGUGGCCAAAAGGCUUACAAGGUGCUGCCAGCCAACUGGACAGGUAGCUGUUAUAUAGCUCAUGGAGUUCCUCAUCUUUCCAUAACUGCCACAUUGCCCAAAAAAAAAAUUUAAAAAUGCCCAAGACACCUCUGUUAAGUUACAAAAAAAGACCCUGCGGCGACUGACUAAGGCAUUGGAGGGAAAUAUAAAGAAUUCCCUCACAACCAAAAAGCUUGUAGGGUGCUCUGUACUGGGAAUAACGCCACUGAUUUCUGGACCAGCCAUGGCAUGCAUAGGCCGCUAUACUAUAAGGCUGCAGAUGGUACUUGAGAAAGUGGCCUUAGAGUUAGAGGACUCUGUUAGUAAUUUAAAAUCAGCAGUAAAAACAUUAAAUAAAAAGGUACAGCAGCUCAGAACGUUUUCCCUCCAAAACAGGCUGGCUUUGAACUAUCUCUUGGCAUCCCAAGGAGGGGUUUGUGCCCUCAUCGGGCCCCAAUGUUGUAUAUAUGUAAAUAAUAACAGUUAUAAAAUCUAUAAAAAAAUGGUACAGGCUGAAGCCCAUGCCCGAGCCGGAGGACAGGUUGCCUAUACUGCCCCAGAAAACGAUUGGUUGCAAACCUUGUUUUCAGGCUGGGGUUUGUCGUCUUGGCUUAUGGUUUAUUUAGCCUGCUAUUGAAAAUUCUCUUUCCUAUAUUGCUUGUAUUACUGGUAUUAUGCUGUGCAGUAUCAUGUGUUAGGGCCCUUUUGCAAAAGUUAAUAAGUCAUUCUCUUCAGGGCUAUCACAAAGUGCUUAUGCAAAGUCCUAUUGUAAAAAAAUAAAUAGCCCAAGUAAAAAAACUCAAAGCCAAGGUUGUUAAAUGUUCUCAAAGGGGGGAGUUGUUGGGGAUACUGGGGCAUGGCCACUAGGUAACUCGAGGGGAUGGAAGACCACGAGUGUCAAUGAAGCCCCCUCGCACUAGGCCCAAGUGUCCUUGGCCCCCCUGCCGCAGGCACACACAGCAGUUAUGCUAAGAAUCUGCAAUAAUAUACUGCGGAGUCAAACUGCCUGAAACUAAGCAAGGCCAAACAGGGCAAAUAUAAAAAAACAAUGCGAAAUAAAGCAGCUUUAUAUAUAGUUUAACAAAUAAUACAAAAAAUCAAGAAACUAGCUAAAAACUGAAUUGGGUGGCUAUAUAAAUACUUGGGGCAGCUUGCUAUUAAAUAAAUAUGCUAAAAUAUAUAUAUAUAUAAAAGCCUGUGUAACUUCCUGCUCUGGGUGCAGGAUUUGAGAUUUUAUUCUCUCUACUUUUUUGCAGCUGCAAAUAAACUUUUCUGCUUCUCCA